rfam:Salmo salar isolate Sally breed double haploid chromosome ssa19, whole genome shotgun sequence.
UACCCUCACUUCUGUAAGUCCCUCUGGAUAAGAGUGUCUGCUAAAUUACUGUAA